CAGUCCCAGAGGAAAGGCCUGUCCUCCAAGCCAAUGUGCAGCCUGACUCUGGGGCCAGCGCCUGAGGAAGCCCUCCCUGAGCCCCAGCCCUGGGGAAGGCUGAAGAGGCCUCUGAGCUCCCAGCGCUGGGGAGCGCUGUGCAGAAUAGGACUGGAGGCAGUUUGGGGUUUCAGCAGGUGGCCCAGUGCUGAGACACAAGGGAGUUGUUUCUGGUCUGCAGACACUGAGGACACUUGCUAUGUGGCGUGGUGGAUGGUGGCUUCCAAUUGUGGACAAGAUAAGGACCAUUGCCCAGGCUGUCUAUGGAGCCAAAGAUAUCGAACUCUGUCCUGAGGCACAAGUCAAAAUAGAUCGUUACACUCAGCAGGGUUUUGGAAAUUUGCCCAUCUGCAUGGCAAAGACCGAUCUUUCUCUGUCUCACCAACCUGACAAAAAAGGUGUGCCAAGGGACUUCAUCUUACCUAUCAGUGAUGUCCGGGCCAGCAUAGGUGCUGGGUUCAUUUACCCUUUGGUCGGAACGGGAAGCAGAGAAUCUCCCCUCUGGCUCUAGUUGGAGAAUCCCAACCCAAGCAAGUCCAUCUUUGAACAAUAAACAUCUCCAGUACUGCUGGCUUUGGAAGACCCCAUGGUGCACCACUGACAUCAUGGCUCGGCUGGACUCUGGAAAGCAGGAAAUUGCUGGAGCAUGUUUGGGCAUCAAUGAUGUCAUCCGCUACGAAUGCCGGGUGGGGUUACUGGACUGAGGGCCAUGAAAAAAGAAAGCUGCGGCCCUGCCCCGUGGACUCACUGCCAUUCUGUUCUUUCUCACGUUUCAGUUCAGCUCACUUUGUUUUCCGUCCCCCUCCCUCUACUGUAAAAGUAUGUACUCAGUGUUUCAUUUCCUGCUGGAUCUGAUUCAGGUCAGUGAUGAAGUUCUUUGC
rnacentral:lncRNA from 1 species